rnacentral:rRNA from 1 species
CCUACGGGAGGCUGCAGUGAGGAAUAUUGGUCAAUGGGCGCGAGCCUGAACCAGCCAAGUCGCGUGAGGGAGGACGGCCCUACGGGUUGUAAACCUCUUUUGCCGGGGAGCAACGGGCGCCACGUGUGGCGUCACUGAGAGGACCCGGAGAAAAAGCAUCGGCUAACUCCGUGCCAGCAGCCGCGGUAAGACGGCGGAUGCGAGCGUUAUCCGGAUUUAUUGGGUUUAAGGGGUGCGUAGGCGGAUCGUUAAGUCAGUGGGCAAAUGGAGGGGCACAACCCCUGCCCGCCAUUGAAACGGGCGUUCUUGAGUGGACGAGACGUAUGCGGAAUGCGUGGUGUAGCGGUGAAAUGCAUAGAUAUCACGCAGAACCCCGAUUGCGAAGGCAGCAUGCCGGCUUCCGACUGACGCUGAAGCACGAAAGCGUGGGGAUCGAACAGGAUUAGAUACCCGAGUAGUC